rnacentral:rRNA from 1 species
GAUGAACGCUGGCGGCGUGCUUAAUACAUGCAAGUCGAGCGAACGGACGAGAAGCUUGCUUUUCUGAUGUUAGCGGCGGACGGGUGAGUAACACGUGGAUAACCUACCUAUAAGACUGGGAUAAAUUCGGGAAACCGGAGCUCAUACCGGAUAAUAUUUUGAACCGCAUGGUUCAAAAGUGAAAGACGGUCUUGCUGUCACUUAUAGAUGGAUCCGCGCUGCAUUAGCUAGUUGGUAAGGUAACGGCUUACCAAGGCAACGAUGCAUAGCCGACCUGAGAGGAGGGUCGGCCACACUGGAACUAAGGCACCGUCCAGACUCCUACGGGAGGCAGCAGUAGGGAAUCUUCCGCAAUGAGCGAAAGCCUGACGGAGCAACGCCGCGUGAGUGAUGAAGGUCUUCGGAUCGUAAAACUCUGUUAUUAGGGAAGAACAUAUGUGUAAGUAACUGUGCACAGCUUGACGGUACCUAAUCAGAAAGCCACGGCUAACUACGUG